rnacentral:rRNA from 1 species
AACGAACGCUGGCGGCAGGCUUAACACAUGCAAGUCGAACGCCCCGCAAGGGGAGUGGCAGACGGGUGAGUAACGCGUGGGAAUCUACCCAGUUCUACGGAAUAACCCAGGGAAACUUGGACUAAUACCGUAUACGCCCUACGGGGGAAAGAUUUAUCGGAAUUGGAUGAGCCCGCGUUGGAUUAGCUAGUUGGUGGGGUAAUGGCCUACCAAGGCGACGAUCCAUAGCUGGUCUGAGAGGAUGAUCAGCCACACUGGGACUGAGACACGGCCCAGACUCCUACGGGAGGCAGCAGUGGGGAAUAUUGGACAAUGGGCGCAAGCCUGAUCCAGCCAUGCUGCGUGAGUGAUGAAGGCCUUAGGGUUGUAAAGCUCUUUCAGUGGGGACGAUAAUGACGGUACCCACAGAAGAAGCCCCGGCUAACUUCGUGCCAGCCGCCGCAGUAA